GCCGCUCUGGUGGAAUUGGUAGACACGCAAGAUUUAGGUUCUUGUGCCUUUGGUGUCCGAGUUCGAGUCUCGGGGGCGGCACCA
rnacentral:tRNA from 1 species